CGCUCCCGGGUCGCGGGGAGCCGGGCAGCCCGGCUGGUGACGGACGUGCAGCUGCUCUGGAAGGCAGGCGAAAGCGGACGGAAUGUUACCAAGCAAGCGGCCCUCCCCACCCGGAGCUCAAAUAACACGCAAUUACGAGAGGCUUUGAAAUAACCCCGGCCCAGCUUCCACCCGUCACUCUCCGCCACGUGCAGCUGUGUCCUGAGAGCUGUCGGUGAGCAGGGGCUGCGCUCAGGCCGGAAAGGGUGAGCAAAUCUCUGUGCGUGAACUUCAGCAGGAGAGAAGAGAAGGGACAGGCGUUAUGUAAGCACAAAGUCCACUCGCUCUCCCCGGGGAUGACGCAGCGAAGGGAACAGCCCCGCAAGGAGGCGGAGGGAGGCUUUACACAGGGAUUGCGAGAACGCGGAGAACGUGGGGAGAGAGGGGGCUCUCCCAGGGCUGCUCUGUGCACUCCGUGUCUGCUGCAUCCCAGAUGGAAUGAUGGCCGCAGGGUCAUGAAGGCCUUCCCGGAGAGUUUCCUCUGAUAGAAAAACACUGUUGUACUUCACAUCUGAGAUGAGAUGUUCAUGAAUGGACCUGUUCUACUGGAAUUUGAGCACUUACUCCUCACAGCUUCAGGCAGCACCGUCUCACUUUUACAGAUGA